AUGUGGACUUCAGCUGCUCUGCUGCUGCUCGCUGUGGCUUCCUAUGUGUCCUGUGCUACCGAGCUCAUCCAGCCAGAUUCAGUGGUUGUAAAGUCUGGUGAGACUUUAAUCAUCAACUGUAGAGUUUCAGGAGCUUCAAUUACUGACAGCAGCAGCCAUUUUGGAACAGCUUGGAUUCGACAGCCUGCAGGAAAAGCUCUGGAAUGGAUCAACACAAUUUAUUAUGAUGGAGAUAUUUAUGAAAAAGAUUCACUUAAAAACAAGUUUGUUGUUUCUCGAGACACGUCCAGUAACACGGUGACCCUACAGGGACAGAAGAUGCAGAAUGAAGAUACAGCUGUGUAUUACUGCGCUCGUGUAGCACCACACUGGUGUCCACAUACUUUUGACCAUGUAAACCUCCUCCUUAUAUCUGAAUCUGCUUCACCUCCCACCAUCAGCGGAUAA